AACGAACGCUGGCGGCAUGCCUAACACAUGCAAGUCGAACGAGACCUCCGGGUCUAGUGGCGCACGGCUGCGUAACGCGGGGGAAGCUGCCCUUAGGUUCGGAAUAACUCCCCGAAAGGGGUGCUAAUACCGGAGAAUCUCUUCCGACCUAAGAUCUAUGGCCUCUGGAUGGGCGCGCGUUGGAUUAGCGAGUUGGUAGUGUAAAAGCCUAGCAAGGCGAUGAUCCAUAGCUGGUCGGAGAGGAGGAUCAGCCACGCUGGGAAUGAGACACGGCCCAGAAUCGUACGGAAGGCAGGAGAGGGGAAUAUUGGACGAGGGGGGAAAGCGUGAUACAGCAGUGCCGGGUGAGUGAUGCAGGGCGUAGGGUUGUAAAGCUGUUUUAGCCGAGAUGAUAAUGACGGUAACGGGUAAAUAAGCGCCGGCUAACUCCGUG
rnacentral:rRNA from 1 species